UCAGCUUGGCUGGGAAAAUGAAAGCGGCUCACCCCAAGGAGAGAGGCAGGGAGCAACAAGCCCCCAACCCUCGAAGACUCCAGGCAGAGGGCGUAGAUCACCAGUCCCAGAAGAAGCAGGAGAAAGCCGGGAAGGCCAGAUCACCAGUCCCAGAAGAAGCAGGAGAAAGCCGGGAAGGCCAGGUCCAGAGGAGCGGAGCCUGCUGGGGGUGGCCCAGUUUCGAUCCCUGAUCAAGGAACUAGGUCCUGCAUGCCGC